AUUGAACGCUGGCGGCAGGCCUAACACAUGCAAGUCGAACGAGUGGCGGACGGGUGAGUAAUGUCUGGGAAACUGCCUGAUGGAGGGGGAUAACUACUGGAAACGGUAGCUAAUACCGCAUACCAUCGGAUGUGCCCAGAUGGGAUUAGCUAGUAGGUGGGGUAAAGGCUCACCUAGGCGACGAUCCCUAGCUGGUCUGAGAGGAUGACCGGCCACACUGGAACUGAAACACGGUCCAGACUCCAAGGGGGGGCAGAAGUGGGGAAUAUUGCAAAAUGGGCGAAGGCCGAAGGCAGCCAGGCCGGGUGUAGGAAGAAGGCCUUCGGGUUGUAAAGUACUUUCAGCGGGGAGGCGUUACCCGCAGAAGAAGCACCGGCUAACUCCGUGCCAGCAGCCGCGUAAUUC
rnacentral:rRNA from 1 species